rnacentral:lncRNA from 1 species
AAUUACGUGGCCCAGAGUAGCUGACUCCCAGAACACUGGCCCUACCAUUUGCUGGAAUCCAAGACUGCCCACACUUUGAUAUGCCUCUCUCCUUGUUCAUAUGUUUGUCUCGGGCAUGCAUGGGUUUUCCUUUCUUCCUUUUCCUUCUUCUUUUUUUCAUAGCAGUAUUCUCUCUAAAAAUCAAAGAGGGAGACAGUAUAUUUCCCACCUGUUCUUUAUGUGAAGAAAUAAGCACUUAGUUUUCUGUUGGGUUUUUGUUGUCGUUUUUUGUUUUCUGUUUUUGUUUUGUUUGUUUGUUUUAGUUUUUGGAAGGAGGGACGGACUCCACCAAUGUCAGGGUCGGCGUGUCCUGUCUAUGUGGCAUACAUUUUAUCACAUAAAGACCAGCAUGGCCAAGUUCUGUGGGAAGGCUACCCAGGUGCCAUGAGUGGGGUCUCCCACUCCUGAAGGGCCAAGGUGUAUCCAACAGGAUUCUAUGUUCUCAUUUUCUAUGGAACCUCCCACAUCCCAGGGUCUCACCCUCAGCUGUCCGUCUGGAUGGUGGUGAUCUCACCUCCAUUAACAUUCUUACGCAGCAUUCUGUACUUCGGGGGCCUUCUCUCUUGUUAUAAAACUUUUUACUGAGUGAAACAUCAACACCACCUUUGUUUCCAUUCCCACUGCUGUAAAUACUGAGUACUAACUGAGAAUUUUGACUUUGCAUUCUGUCAGAAUACUUGUGUUCAAUAAAAAUUGAAAGAAAAAAAAAGCAA